AUUGAGGUAGAUGAGUGAUGGCAGUCCAUUUGUAUUGAGGUAGAUGAGUGAUGGCAGUCCAUUUGUAUUGAGGUAGAUGAGUGAUGGCAGUCCAUUUGUAUUGAGGUAGAUGAGUGAUGGCAGUCCAUUUGUAUUGAGGUAGAUGAGUGAUGGCAGUCCAUUUGUAUUGAGGUAGAUGAGUGAUGGCAGUCCAUUUGUAUUGAGGUAGAUGAGUGAUGGCAGUCCAUUUGUAUUGAGGUAGAUGAGUGAUGGCAGUCCAUUUGUAUUGAGGUAGAUGAGUGAUGGCAGUCCAUUUGUAUUGAGGUAGAUGAGUGAUGGCAGUCCAUUUGUAUUGAGGUAGAUGAGUGAUGGCAGUCCAUUUGUAUUGAGGUAGAUGAGUGAUGGCAGUCCAUUUGUAUUGAGGUA